rnacentral:rRNA from 4 species
AAAUUGAAGAGUUUGAUCAUGGCUCAGAUUGAACGCUGGCGGCAGGCCUAACACAUGCAAGUCGAACGGUAACAGGAAGCAGCUUGCUGCUUCGCUGACGAGUGGCGGACGGGUGAGUAAUGUCUGGGAAACUGCCUGAUGGAGGGGGAUAACUACUGGAAACGGUGGCUAAUACCGCAUAACGUCGCAAGACCAAAGAGGGGGACCUUCGGGCCUCUUGCCAUCAGAUGUGCCCAGAUGGGAUUAGCUAGUUGGUGAGGUAACGGCUCACCAAGGCGACGAUCCCUAGCUGGUCUGAGAGGAUGACCAGCCACACUGGAACUGAGACACGGUCCAGACUCCUACGGGAGGCAGCAGUGGGGAAUAUUGCACAAUGGGCGCAAGCCUGAUGCAGCCAUGCCGCGUGUAUGAAGAAGGCCUUCGGGUUGUAAAGUACUUUCAGCGGGGAGGAAGGUGUUGCGGUUAAUAACCGCAGCAAUUGACGUUACCCGCAGAAGAAGCACCGGCUAACUCCGUGCCAGCAGCCGCGGUAAUACGGAGGGUGC